GUCCUAGCCGUAAACGAUGAGUGCUAGGUGGUGGUAGUUUCAACACUUUCACCGCCGCAGCCAACGCAUUAAGCACUCCGCCUGGGGAGUACGGCCGCAAGGUUGAAACUCAAAGGAAUUGACGGGGCCGGCACAAGCGGUGGAGCAUGUGGUUCAAUUCGAAGCAACGCGAGAACCUUACCCUGGGCGUUGACAUGCAGGUGACAGCCGUGGAAACAACGGUCUCCCUUCGGGGCGACCUGCACAGAUGCUGCAUGGCUGUCGU
rnacentral:rRNA from 1 species